UACGAAGGGGGCUAGCGUUGUUCGGAUUUACUGGGCGUAAAGCGCACGUAGGCGGAUUGUUAAGUCAGGGGUGAAAUCCCAGAGCUCAACUCUGGAACUGCCUUUGAUACUGGCAAUCUCGAGUCCGGAAGAGGUGAGUGGAACUCCUAGUGUAGAGGUGGAAUUCGUAGAUAUUAGGAAGAACACCAGUGGCGAAGGCGGCCUGCUGGGCAGUUUUGCUGACACUGAGGUGCGAAAGCGUGGGGAGCGAACAGG
rnacentral:rRNA from 1 species